UACGGAGGGGGCUAGCGUUGUUCGGAAUUACUGGGCGUAAAGCGCACGUAGGCGGCUUUGUAAGUUAGAGGUGAAAGCCCAGGGCUUAACCCUGGAAUUGCCUUUAAGACUGCAUCGCUAGAAUCGUGGAGAGGUAAGUGGAAUUCCGAGUGUAGAGGUGAAAUUCGUAGAUAUUCGGAAGAACACCAGUGGCGAAGGCGACUUACUGGACACAUAUUGACGCUGAGGUGCGAAAAGCGUGGGGAGCAAACAGG
rnacentral:rRNA from 1 species